rnacentral:rRNA from 1 species
AUGCAGCUUUGGAGCCUGGAGGGGGCGGAAGAGGCCUUCGGCGACUUCGGCCGCAUCGACCGCCUCGACAGCCGCACCAACGAGCGCGGCCACACCAAGACGUUCGCAUGCUGGCUGUGGGCGUGGGACGUCGCGCACAUCCCAACGAAGAGGGCGCUCUGGGUGGUCAAGCGCGGCGCAGGCCGCGUCGACCAGAUCCUAGGCUUCUCCCCGCCGGAAUUCAACGUGCCCCCGCCGCCGAACGUCCAUCGCUACGACCUCCUCAUCCACGUAGAUAGGGUAGAGGACUGG